CCCUUAGAUGUUCUGGGCCGCACGCGCGCUACACUGAUGCAUUCAACGAGUUUCUUCCUGGUCCGAGAGGAAUGGGUAACCUUUUGAAAGUGCAUCGUGAUAGGGAUAGACUAUUGCAAUUAUUGGUCUUCAACGAGGAAUUCCUAGUAGACGUAGUUCAUCAGACUGCAUCGAUUACGUCCCUGCCCUUUGUACACACCGCCCGUCGCUCCUACCGAUUGAAUGGUCCGGUGAAGCCUCGGGAUUGUGGCUGGUUUCCUUUAUUGGAGGUCGGUUGCGAGAACUUGUCUAAACCUUAUCAUUUAGAGGAAGGUGAAGUCGUAACA
rnacentral:rRNA from 1 species